rnacentral:rRNA from 1 species
GAUGAACGCUAGCUACAGGCUUAACACAUGCAAGUCGAGGGGAAACGGCAUCGAAAGCUUGCUUUUGAUGGGCGUCGACCGGCGUACGGGUGAGUAACGCGUAUCCAACCUGCCCAUCACUUGGGAAUAACCUUGCGAAAGUAAGACUAAUGCCCAAUGACAUCCCACGAAGGCUUCCGAAUGGGAUUAAAGAUUUAUCGGUGAUGGAUGGGGAUGCGUCUGAUUAGCUUGUUGGCGGGGUGACGGCCCACCAAGGCAACGAUCAGUAGGGGUUCUGAGAGGAAGGUCCCCCACAUUGGAACUGAGACACGGUCCAAACUCCUACGGGAGGCAGCAGUGAGGAAUAUUGGUCAAUGGGCGAGAGCCUGAACCAGCCAAGUAGCGUGCAGGAUGACGGCCCUAUGGGUUGUAAACUGCUUUUAUAAGGGAAUAAAGUGGGUCACGUGUGACUUUUUGCAUGUACCUUAUGAAUAAGGACCGGCUAAUUCCGUG